rnacentral:lncRNA from 1 species
UUUUGGGACAUAGAUUACCUUCGGGUAUAGAUUAAUGAAAUGUCUUCGGGACAUAGAUUACCUUCAGGUAUGGAAUGAGAAGUGUCUUCGGGACAAAGAUUACCUUCGGGUAUGGUUGAGUUGUGGUUGGUGUGGUUGUGGAUCGGUCUCUCUUGUUUGUGUAGUUGUGUGAGCGCUUCUAGAGCGUGAUGUGUGAUUACUUGUUUAUAUCUAUACUUGGCAUGUUGGUGGAAU